CAUAGUGAUGACUCGCUGUCGCCCCAAACGGAUUUCGAAAGAAUGAACGAUUCGACUUCAAUAGCCAAACACACUGAAAAUUCUGAUC
rnacentral:snoRNA from 1 species